rnacentral:tmRNA from 1 species
GCCCUUGGAAGAGAGGCCCGAAAGGCCUAUAUUGGUCCUGUCCGGGUUCGCCCGGACUAUGGCGAUAAACGCGCCUGUAAUAAGCGGACCGGACCCGGGUGCGAUUCCCGGCGGCUCCACCAUUUCCUCCCGUGUAUCGGCGGGCGGUGCGGGGCCGACUAGCAUCGACGGACGUGUAAAGAGGACUGCUUUCGCCCGUCCUGGCCCACCGUAUCGGGCCUUUAACUAACUGCGAACGAUAACUUCGCUGGAGAAGUCGCUCUCGCCGCGUAAGCGGUUCGGGUGAUUUCGAACACUUAAGUCCUUGGGGUUCAGAUCCCAGGGCGGGGCCUGUCGGGAGCCUGGCAACAGAAUCCCGGCACU